rnacentral:rRNA from 1 species
UACAGAGGUCUCAAGCGUUGUUCGGAUUCAUUGGGCGUAAAGGGCUCGUAGGCGGUUUGUCACGUCGGGAGUGAAAACUCAGGGCUCAACCCUGAGCCUGCUUCCGAUACGGGCAGACUAGAGGUAUGCAGGGGAGAACGGAAUUCCUGGUGUAGCGGUGAAAUGCGCAGAUAUCAGGAGGAACACCGGUGGCGAAGGCGGUUCUCUGGGCAUUACCUGACGCUGAGGAGCGAAAGUGUGGGGAGCGAACAGG